rnacentral:rRNA from 1 species
GGGGGGGCAAGCGUUGUUCGGAAUUACUGGGCGUAAAGGGCGCGCAGGCGGCCCGGCCAGUCCCUUGUGAAAUCCCACGGCUCAACUGUGGAACUGCAGGGGAUACUGCCAGGCUUGAGUCCGGGAGAGGGUAGUGGAAUUCCCAGUGUAGCGGUGAAAUGCGUAGAUAUUGGGAGGAACACCGGUGGCGAAGGCGGCUACCUGGACCGGUACUGACGCUGAGGCGCGAAAGCUAGGGGAGCAAACGGGAUUAGAUACCCCGGGUAGUCCUAGCUGUAAACGUUGAGCACUUGGUGUGGCGGGUAUCGACCCCCCCUGCUGUGCCGAAGCUAACGCAUUAAGUGCUCCGCCUGGGGGAGUACGGUCGCAAGGCUG